GGGCCCGCACAAGCGGUGGAGCAUGUGGUUUAAUUCGAUGAUACGCGAGGAACCUUACCAGGGCUUAAAUGUAGUCUGACAGCUUUAGAGAUAGAGUUUUCUUCGGACAGAUUACAAGGUGCUGCAUGGUUGUCGUCAGCUCGUGCCGUGAGGUGUCAGGUUAAGUCCUAUAACGAGCGCAACCCCUGUCGUUAGUUGCCAGCAUGUCAUGAUGGGGACUCUAACGAGACUGCCGGUGCAAACCGCGAGGAAGGUGGGGAUGACGUCAAAUCAUCACGGCCCUUACGUCCUGGCCACACACGUGCUACAAUGGCCGGUACAGAGAGCCGCAAAGCUGUGAAGUGAAGCUAAA
rnacentral:rRNA from 1 species